rnacentral:rRNA from 1 species
AGCAGCCGCGGUAAUUCCAGCUCCAAUAGCGUAUAUUAAAGUUGUUGCAGUUAAAAAGCUCGUAGUUGAAUUUCGAGACCGGCUUACUGGUCGUGCUUUUGUGCGUACUGGUAUAAUCGGUUUCUCCUUUCUGACGAACUUUAAUGCCAUUAAUUUGGUGUUUUAGGGAAUCAGGACUGUUACUUUGAAAAAAUUAGAGUGUUUAAAGCAGGCUCACGCUUGAAUACAUUAGCAUGGAAUAACGGAAUAGGACGUUUGAUUCUAUUUUGUUGGUUUCUAGGAUCGACGUAAUGAUUAAUAGGGAUAGUUGGGGGCAUUAGUAUUCAAUUGUCAGAGGUGAAAUUCUUGGAUUUAUUGAAGACUAACUACUGCGAAAGCAUUUGCCAAGGAUGUUUUCAUUAAUCAAGAACGAAAGUUAGGGGAUCGAAGACGAUCAGAUACCGUCGUAGUCUUAACCAUAAACUAUGCCGACUAGGGAUCGGAUGAUGUUAAUUUUUUAAUGACUCA